CCCACGGGUGGCAGCAGUGGGGAAUAUUGGACAAUGGGCGAAAGCCUGAUCCAGCCAUGCCGCGUGUGUGAAGAAGGCCUUCGGGUUGUAAAGCACUUUCAGUGGGGAAGAAAGCCUUGGGGCUAAUACCCUCGAGGAAGGACAUCACCCACAGAAGAAGCACCGGCUAACUCCGUGCCAGCAGCCGCGGUAAUACGGAGGGUGCGAGCGUUAAUCGGAAUUACUGGGCGUAAAGCGCGCGUAGGCGGUCUGAUAAGCCGGUUGUGAAAGCCCCGGGCUCAACCUGGGAACGGCAUCCGGAACUGUCAGGCUAGAGUGCAGGAGAGGAAGGUAGAAUUCCCGGUGUAGCGGUGAAAUGCGUAGAGAUCGGGAGGAAUACCAGUGGCGAAGGCGGCCUUCUGGACUGACACUGACGCUGAGGUGCGAAAGCGUGGGUAGCAAACAGGAUUAGAUACCCGAGUAGUC
rnacentral:rRNA from 1 species